rnacentral:rRNA from 1 species
UACAGAGGGGGCAAGCGUUGUUCGGAAUUACUGGGCGUAAAGGGCGCGUAGGCGGCCCGCUAAGUCGAACGUGAAAUCCCCCGGCUUAACCUGGGAACUGCGUCUGAUACUGGGAGGCUAGAGUGCGGGAGAGGGAUGGCGGAAUUCCAGGUGUAGCGGUGAAAUGCGUAGAUAUCUGGAGAACACCGGUGGCGAAGGCGGCAUCCUGGACCGACACUGACGCUGAGGCGCGAAAGCGUGGGGGAGCGAACGAGG